rnacentral:rRNA from 1 species
GUGAGGAAUAUUGGUCAAUGGUCGGAAGACUGAACCAGCCAUGCCGCGUGCAGGAAGACGGUCCUAUGGAUUGUAAACUGCUUUUAUUCGGGGAUAAACCUCCUUACGUGUAGGGAGCUGAAGGUACCGAAAGAAUAAGCACCGGCUAACUCCGUGCCAGCAGCCGCGGUAAUACGUAGGGUGCAAGCGUUAUUCGGAAUCCUUUGGUUUAAAGGGUCCGCAGGCGGGAUUGUAAGUCAGUAGUGAAAUCCGGCAGCUCAACUGUCGCAAUGACAUUGAUACUGCAGUCCUUGAAUUCGAUUGGAGUGGGCGGAAUAUGUCAUGUAGCGGUGAAAUGCUUAGAUAUGACAUAGAACACCGAUAGCGAAGGCAGCUCACUAAGUCUAAAUUGACGCUCAUGGACGAAAGCGCGGGUAGCAAACAGGAUUAGAAACCCUUGUAGUCC